rnacentral:rRNA from 1 species
AUGGAAGACGCUCUAAUGGAGGUAGCCGACGGGCCGCUGGCGGCAGGCGGUGAGCGGCGUGCCGCAAAGGCACUUGUUGUGGAGGUAGCUGUAGCGGUCGAACCUGGACAUGUUGCCGCCGGUGGGCACGGCGCCGCACAGCCUGUUGAAGCUCACGUUGAACUGCUGGAGGCCAGCCAGGGUCGCCACCUGCGCCGGGAUGGAGCCGCGGAUGGCGUUGUGGCUGAGGUCGGCGUAGGUGAGCUGCUCCGGGAACUCCACGGCGGAGAGGUCAAAGUUGAGGGCGUUGCGGGACACGUCGAGGUGCUGGAUGACCUUCUCUGCGCCGAAGAGGCUGGUGGCGUCGCCGGAGAGGGCGUUGCGGGAGAGGUCGACGUAGGAGAAGUUGACAGCGGCGAACUCAGUCGGGAUGGCGCCGGAGAGGUUGUUGUGGGAGAGCUGGAGGUAGGCGCCGUCGGGGGACUUGGACAAGAGGAGCGACGGGAUGGUGCCGGAGAGGCUGUUGCGGCGGAGGUUGAUACUAGAGAGGCUGAUGAGGUUGGCGAGGGACGUCCGGGAUGA